GUUGAAGAACGUAGCGAAAUGCGAUACGUAAUGUGAAUUGCAGAAUUCAGUGAAUCAUCGAGUCUUUGAACGCACAUUGCGCCCCCUGGUAUUCCGGGGGGCAUGCCUGUCCGAGCGUCAUUGCUGCCCUCAAGCACGGCUUGUGUGUUGGGCCUCCGUCCUCCUCCCGGGGGACGGGCCCGAAAGGCAGCGGCGGCACCGCGUCCGGUCCUCGAGCGUAUGGGGCUUCGUCACCCGCUCUUGUAGGCCCGGCCGGCGCUUGCCGACACAUCAAUCUUUUUUCCAGGUUGACCUCGGAUCAGGUAGGGAUACCCUCUGAACUUAAGCAUAUCAAUAAGCGGAGGA
rnacentral:misc_RNA from 1 species